rnacentral:rRNA from 1 species
UAAAACUUUCAACAACGGAUCUCUUGGUUCUGGCAUCGAUGAAGAACGCAGCGAAAUGCGAUAAGUAAUGUGAAUUGCAGAAUUCAGUGAAUCAUCGAAUCUUUGAACGCACAUUGCGCCCAUUAGUAUUCUAGUGGGCAU